GCAGUGUGUAAUGUAAAAUUCUUCUUGGUAAUCCCCAAAAGUUUGCACAUUUAAGGUUUAUUUAGCACUGCCUAACCGUUUUUGGGGCUUGUAAUUUUCCCAGCAGAUGGCCAUGACAUGCAUCCUGUGCUGCAAACAUGGUUGCCACGACGACGUUGGCAUGUUCAGUGAUCUUGCUGUUUACAUGAAAAGACGAGCUACGGGCACGAAGAAAACUCAUUUCUUCUUCUGUUUUCAGGCGCAGACCUCACACAUCUCCUCUGACAACGACUCCGAACACGACCGAACAGACCCGGGAGGCAGCGGGCCGCUCAUCAAAGCAGAAAGGGUUCUGAAACAGCAGAGCAGAGCCACAUCGUCAGGACUUCAGCAAAACUCUCCUGCUCUGCUGGAUUCCACACCUGCUGUCAGGUUCAGCAGCUGCUGGAGUUUGAGCACAGUGUCCUGCUGCAGCCCGUCUGGUCUCCACCUGCAGGAAGAUGUUGGAAAGUUUCCCCUAAUCUGGUUGGUGCAUCUGAACACCAUUAUGCCGCCAUCUGCAUCACAAUGGCCUCCUAAUCCACAAGAAGCCUCCCGAAUUAACCGCAGACUGCAAAUCCUGGAUUUGACGGAUCUAUCCGGAUGAGGACUUUGCGUGCAUGACAUGUUUGUCCAGCAGCCUACAAAUCUACUUUAUAAAAAAGACACACCCAUGGUUGCAGACCAGUAUGCUCCACCAGAAUGCUCGCCACAAAGUCAUACAAUAAUUAUAAAAUUCAGAGGACGUAUUUUUACAAUUGUGCAUUAAAAUAAGUCCACAAGGAAAUUCAUGCGCUAAAUUGAUGUCAUUUUUCCACUUCCUGUCUCCAAAAAUGCUUCCUAAGAAAACCGAUCCCCUGAUUAUAUAGUCUUAUAUUUGUUUCAUUGCUAAAUGUCAGAAAGCAAGCUGUAAUUUUUGCUUUACUUGGCUUAAAUGUCAGCAAAAAGAGCUCGACUCUGCAUGUGUACAUGUGGUUCUGCGUUUGUCAGCAUAUGUACAGUCAUUUAAGGCUAAAAUAAAAAGUGAUUUAUUGUAAAUGGUCAUUAAUAUAAGGUGGCAGAAACAAAAGUCAGAUUUAAACAGAAAUGGGACCAG
rnacentral:lncRNA from 1 species